rnacentral:rRNA from 1 species
CGGAGAGUUUGAUCCUGGCUCAGAUUGAACGCUGGCGGCAGGCCUAACACAUGCAAGUCGAGCGGUAGAGAGAAGCUUGCUUCUCUUGAGAGCGGCGGACGGGUGAGUAAUGCCUAGGAAUCUGCCUGGUAGUGGGGGAUAACGUCCGGAAACGGACGCUAAUACCGCAUACGUCCUACGGGAGAAAGCAGGGGACCUUCGGGCCUUGCGCUAUCAGAUGAGCCUAGGUCGGAUUAGCUAGUUGGUGGGGUAAUGGCUCACCAAGGCGACGAUCCGUAACUGGUCUGAGAGGAUGAUCAGUCACACUGGAACUGAGACACGGUCCAGACUCCUACGGGAGGCAGCAGUGGGGAAUAUUGGACAAUGGGCGAAAGCCUGAUCCAGCCAUGCCGCGUGUGUGAAGAAGGUCUUCGGAUUGUAAAGCACUUUAAGUUGGGAGGAAGGGCAGUAAAUUAAUACUUUGCUGUUUUGACGUUACCGACAGAAUAAGCACCGGCUAACUCUGUGCCAGCAGCCGCGGUAAUACAGAGGGUGCAAGCGUUAAUCGGAAUUACUGGGCGUAAAGCGCGCGUUAGGUGUUCGUUAAGUUGGAUGUGAAAUCCCCGGGCUCAACCUGGGAACUGCAUUCAAAAC